rnacentral:rRNA from 1 species
UUGAAAUCUGGUGGCCUCAGGUCAUCCGAGUUGUAAUCUAUAGAAGUGUUUUCCGUGCUGGCUCAUGUACAAGUCCCUUGGAACAGGGCGUCAUAGAGGGUGAGAAUCCCGUCCUUGACAUGAACUACCAGUGCUCUGUGAUACAUUUUCAACGAGUCGAGUUGUUUGGGAAUGCAGCUCAAAAUGGGUGGUAAAUUCCAUCUAAAGCUAAAUAUUGGCGAGAGACCGAUAGCGAACAAGUACCGUGAGGGAAAGAUGAAAAGCACUUUGGAAAGAGAGUUAAACAGUAUGUGAAAUUGUUGAAAGGGAAACGAUUGAAGUCAGUCGUGCUCUUUGGAUUCAGCCGGUUCUGCCGGUGUACUUCCUUUGAGUGGGGUCAACAUCAGUUUUGAUCGCUGGAUAAAGGCUGGAGGAACGUAGUACCCUCGGGUAAACUUAUAGCCUCCUGUCACAUACAGUGGUUGGGACUGAGGAA